AAAAUCUGCAACCUUUGGUUCAAAAUUACUGGUAAGAAGAAUAUUAUCUGCCUUAAUAUCUCGAUGUAUAAUUUUACAGAUUUCAUGUAGAUGUUGUAAUCCAUAUGCAGAUUGUAUGGCGAUAUUCCUUCUUCUUUGCCAAUCCAGCUUGUUAUCUUUUCCAUUUAAAUGAUGUCUCAAUGUCCCAUUGGGAACAAACUCCAAUACAAGCAGUUUAUUAGCGCCCUCAUCACAGUAGCCAAUAAGCUCAACAAGGCAUGGGUGAUUUACCUUUUUAAGGUACUCAAUCUCCUCUACUUUAUUUUGCGGCUCUUCAUCCUUUUUAAAUUUAAGUUUCUUGAUAGCAACAACUUUACCGUCUAGUGAUCCUUUGAAGACAUCACCAAAGCCACCUGAGCCAAGCAGAUUAUCGUACGUGAAAGAUUUAGUUGCCUCGGAGAGUUUCUUAUAACUGUACUUCCUCAACCCGCCUCUGGUGUCACCGCCACCUCCGAAACAACCCCAAGAGCAAAAAGCCAUCAAUUAAGAGUUGCAGAGUCCCAACUAAGAACUAUCAGAGAGACAGAGAGAGAGAGAGA
rnacentral:misc_RNA from 1 species